rnacentral:lncRNA from 10 species
GAUCCAGCCCUUUAUGUCAGAAUAAAACCAUGCCAGACCCUUCUAAACUGCCCUAAUGUUCCGGUGCUGGGUUUCAGCAUCCAAUCAUUCCAUGUGCUCAGGGCUGGGGUUUGGCUGGGCACGGACCUCCUCUGUCUGAUGAUUGUUUCUGGUGUGCUCUCAUUGGUUCCACUUUUCUGCCCCUGCCUGGCUGGUGGGGUCCCACGAGGCUGGGCAGCUGCACUCUCUCCCCCAAGCUGAGACUGGGCACCAAAGGAGGGUGGAGGGUCUCUGCAGGAGGCUACCUGUGCCUGCCAUGGCUCCGAGCAUCCUCACCCCCCCAUCCUGGAUGGUGGCAUCCAGGGCCCACUGCCCCCAGACCAGGCCUGCACUUCACCCCCACAUCCUGACACUCCAAGUCUUCAUGUGCUCCCGGCUCCCAGGCCUUGGCACAGCCUGUUCCCUGCACCUGGAAUGCCUUUCCCAGAUCUUCUCCAUCUGGAGAAUCCUGCUCAUCCCCCAGGCCCAAGGAUGGAGGGACGGGGGGAAUUAAUAUAUUUUAACCUGACUGUGCCAAGGACCGUGCUGGGAGGUGAGUGCCCUCCGUGAAUCCCAACACAGCCCUGCACCAAUCACACAGAGGGGGCUUCAUAAGCCCAUUUCACAGAUAGAGAAACUGAGGCUCUGAGGCAUUGAGUAAUUUGCCCAAAUUCAUCCCAUGGUCGGUGGCAGGGCUGGGAUAACUCCGACCAGUCAGCUGACCAGCUGGCCCACAGACCAGCCUUGUCUGUCCACUCCUGGCUCUGGGUGUUCUCUCAGCCCCUGAGAAGGGGCAUCAUCCCUUCCUUCAUGCCCGCCCAGGAUGCGGAGCCUCCUUCUUCCUCCUUUCAUCUAGUUCUUCCCAUCCUCCUCUGUCCCUCACUGGUCCCCUCUGGAGGGAGGUGCCCCUCCCUGGCCUCCAGGCUCCAGCCUGAGCAGUCUGCUCCAGCCUUGGUGAACAGAGGUGGCUGCAAUGGGCUGACGCAGCUGCUGUGUCCAUGGCCAGUGUCCAGGCUCUGCCCCGGAGAAGGACAGGCCCCUCCAGCCCAAGGAUAAGCUGGCUCCUGUGUUUGUCAGAAGAAACUUGGCUUCCUCAACAGUGUCAGGGGUCUGAGCUGUGGGUGAGGCUCCAAGUCUUCUCCAGAGAUGCCUUCAUUCUGAGAGUCUUGAGUCCGUCACAGGGAUGAACGGAGCUCUCUUUGAUUGCACCUGUGCCCCACUGUGGACUGGAGCCCCCCUUCUUCAGAACACAGCACACCGAAGCCCAAGCGGCCUUCAAACUCAUCUUAUCUGGUUUGCAGGGCCCAUUUUACAGAUGAGAAAACUAAGGCACAGAAAAGUUCAACAGACAGCAGCAAAGAGGGACUCGAAAUAGCAGAAACUUCUGAGACAACAGGCCUGGUUUCUAAUUCCAGCCGCAUCUCGACUGUCUCAGCCAAUCUUGCACCUCAGAGUCUCCAUUCAGCAGCUGUAAAAUGCUCAGCCCCCUUCCCUGCAUCCGAUACCUAGCCCAGGGCCCUGCACACAUCUGUCUGCCUUAGUUCCUUUGCCUAUAGAGUGGGUCUGUAAAAUGGAUCCCUGUGAAGUUCAGUUUAGGAAAUCCAUGUAAAGCACCUAGCACAUAGUAGAUGCCCCAAAAUGGUAGCUCAUACAGGACCAAGCCUUUCCUGACCCAAAUCCCUGGAUAUUGCAUCCCAGUGAUCAAAGCAGCCCUUCCCUAUGCCAUCACACCUGAGGCCAACUAAGCCCCAGUGGCUGAGCCUCCAAGCCCUAAGGCGACUCUGAAGAAGAGGUGGGUGCAGGCUCCUGCACAGAAGCCCCAUCCCCACAACCAUUUUCUCCCCUGUUAAUUGCAUUCACAUUGGGAACAGUUGAGCCUUUCCCCAUUUUCACAGAGUAUAGUCCAGGAAAUAACCAUGUAAUUAAAGAGGAGAAAUGUAAAACAACACUCUCAUUGGGACUUUAGACCACCCCAUCUUCUCUCCUUGUAAAUUAAUUAGCGAACUGCGACUGUGAAGACAAACCCCUUGUUGAAACCCGGUAACCAAUUCACUAUGGGGCCAAGAGACUCCCACUGUAGUACAAGGCCUGAAAAAGGAAAGCAAAG